GGAACUGUCCCCACGAGCUGCAUCCUCAGCCUCCCCUCCCAUGGGGUGCUUGGGGCUCUGGGCCACCACCGAGGGGACCUCGGAGGUUUUGGUGGGCUACAGGUGAUCCGUGUAAGAGGAAAAAAAGGAAACUAUCACUUGUUCAGAAGACUGUGCACAGGAUUUAUGAUAAUGAUCCAGACAAGACUUGCAUGUUUUCUGCUCCAUUCUUUGGGUCAAGAACACACUGGUUAAUAGCCAAUUAUUUCAUACCCUAAGGGAAUUUUGGGAAAGAAGUUUCUGGGAAGAGUCAACUUGUUUUGGGAAAUGAGACUAACAUUCAAUUCUGCAAGAUUAUUUUAUCCAUUAUGCGACCUUCUUACUUGACAUUCCUUUGUCAUAGCUCUGAAUCCAGGCACAAAGAGCUGCUGAAGGCUGGGAUGUAUAGGAAGGGAGAGGCCAGGAUUGCUACUCAGAGAUCCCAAAGCAGAAAAUGCAAGAUUGGAGCUCAGAGAGGAAGAAGGAUGGACUCCUGUGGAUGAGAAGAUGGGUUAAAAAUAUGCGAGAUUUAAACUUCUGGUCUUUUCACAAGAUAAUCAGCUCAAAUUAAUGGUUCAGAGCCAUGGAUCUAGUCAGACUGCUUCCAGAAUCAUUCCUAUGCCCUGGCCAGAAAUCUCACCAAAACCUGGGGUAGGAAGAACAAUCAAAGAAUUCAUUUCUUGUUAUCAGUAGUUUGUGACUGCAACAUAAAGUGUCUUCAGAGAGGCACUUCGGAGAGGGGGAGCUGCUCUGCCCUGUCCUUGGGCACUCCUGUGGCACAGCUGGUGGUCCUGAGCUGGUCCUUUUCUGCUGGGACCCUACAGCCUGCAAGCACAGGCACCACUGAUGGAACCACACAAAUAAGUAUGAAAGGCAUAGUAAUUUUGGCUCAGUUACAUCAGGUUAUCGUGUGCCAUGUCUCACAAAAUUUCAGCCUGGUUUUCCAGCAAAUAAAAGCUUGCAACAUCCCCAUGUCCCAUCCCCUCUGGCUGCCAUUGGCAUUCCUCUUCAGCCUCUGUGUUUGCAAAACUAAGUUUCCAUUUCUAAGCUCAUUCCAUUAUGGAAAGCAGAAUGUGCAGUUUUCUAUGUCCAGAAUGGAUUCUUUAGGUAGA